rnacentral:rRNA from 1 species
GAUGAACGCUGACAGAAUGCUUAACACAUGCAAGUCAACUGUGGCGGACGGGUGAGUAACGCGUAAAGAACUUGCCUCACAGAUAGGGACAACAUUUGGAACAGAAUGCUAAUAACUGAUACUGUGAGAGAGCUUUGCGUCCCAUUAGCUAGUUGGAGAGGUAACGGCUCACAAAGGCGAUGAUGGGUAGCCGGCCUGAGAGGGUGAUCGGCCACAAGUCGACUGAGACACGGCCCUUACUCAUACGGGAGGCAGCAGUGGGUAAUAUUGGACACUGGACCAAAGUCUGAUCCAGCAAUUCUGUGUGCACGAUGAAGUUUUCGGAAUGUAAAGUGCUUUCAGUUGGGAAGCAGUACCAACAGAAGAAGUGACGGCUAAAUACGUGCCAGCAGCCGCGGUAAUUC